rnacentral:rRNA from 1 species
CUAUGGCCAUACCACCCUGAACGCGUCCAAUCUCGUCUGAUUUCAGAAGCUAAGCAGGGUCAGGCCUGGUUAGUACUUGGAUGGGAGAAAGAGAAAGAAGUGACCCAAAGC